CCUUCACAAUCCGUUUAAACUACGCUAUAUUACGGGUGUUCUUCGGAACUAUGGCGAUAAACGCGGAACAGAAUAGGCGGAUUGGACCCGGGGGCGGAACCCGGCGGCUCCACCAAAGUGCGGUGUUAUUGCAGCGCAUUUUGGCGGGGCCGAAUUAGCAUCGACAAACGCAGUAAAGGUUUUAGCUUUCGUUCGGCAUGAUACCGCCGUGAUGGAUCAUCUUUAUAAAUGCAAACGAUAAUUUUGCACUUGUAGCUGCUAACGACAAUUUUGUCGCUGCAGAUCGCGCUGCUGCCUAAUUGGGCACACGUGAUUUCUAGUUAGUUACGCGGUUUGGGGAGUACCGGGCAACAGAAACUCCCC
rnacentral:tmRNA from 1 species